rnacentral:rRNA from 1 species
CACGGGGGGAGCAAGCGUUGUUCGGAAUCACUGGGCGUAAAGGGCGUGUAGGCGGUCAGGUAAGUGGGAUGUGAAAGCCCUCGGCUCACCCGAGGAUCUGCAUCUCAAACUGCCUGGCUUGAGUAUGGGAGAGGAUGAGGGAAUUCCUGGUGUAGCGGUGAAAUGCGUAGAUAUCAGGAGGAACACCGGUGGCGAAGGCGGCUCUCUGGACAGGUACCGACGCUGAGGCACGAAAGCUAGGGGAGCAAACAGG